GACGAACGCUGGCGGCGCGCCUAACACAUGCAAGUCGAACGGGGUGCGUUCGAAUGAAGUUUUCGGAUGGAAUUUGGAUGUACCUAGUGGCGAACGGGUGAGUAACACGUGAAUAACCUGCCCUGGAGUGGGGGACAACAGUUGGAAACGACUGCUAAUACCGCAUAAGCCCACAGAGCCGCAUGGCUCAGGGGGAAAAGGAGCAAUUCGCUUCAGGAUGGAUUCGCGUCCAAUUAGCUGGAUGGUGAGGUAACGGCCCACCAUGGCGACGAUUGGUAGCCGGACUGAGAGGUUGAUCGGCCACAUUGGGACUGAGACACGGCCCAGACUCCUACGGGAGGCAGCAGUGGGGAAUAUUGCACAAUGGGGGAAACCCUGAUGCAGCGACGCCGCGUGGAGGAAGAAGGUCUUCGGAUUGUAAACUCCUGUCGUUGGGGACGAUAAUGACGGUACCCAACAAGGAAGUGACGGCUAACUACGUG
rnacentral:rRNA from 1 species